GCGGUUGGCUGGGCGAUCGCCAGGGGGCAUCGGGCUCCUUGGAGGAAAGUCCGGGCACCGCAGAGCAGGGUGGUGGCUAACGGCCACCGGGGGCAACCCCAGGGAAAGUGCCACAGAAAACAAACCGCCAACCCCGGGCGUUCUCCGCUCGGGCGGCAAGGGUGAAAAGGUGCGGUAAGAGCGCACCGCGGCGGCGGUGACGUCGCCGGCAGGGCAAACCCCACCCGGUGCAAGGCCGAAUAGGGGAGGAGAGGUUGCUCGCCUCGCUCGACUCUCGGGUAGGCCGCUCGAGGCCGUCCGCAAGGGCGGCCCUAGAUGGAUGAUCGCCUCCCUCGCCACGGCGAGGGAACAGAACCCGGCUUACAGGCCAGUCGCCUCU
rnacentral:RNase_P_RNA from 1 species